rnacentral:lncRNA from 1 species
UUUCAGUAGCAACUGACUCUGCUAACACCUUGGUCUGGAACUUCUAGUGUGUAAAAGUGUGAGACAACACAUUUCUGUUGUUUAAGACACACAAUCUGUGGUACUUUGAUACAGCAGCCCUGACAAACUAAUACAUGGGGUGUCUCAUUGUAGUUUUAAUCAGUAACACCCAUUAUGAACUGAAAACGUCUGCUACUUUUAAGAGAAAGGAUUAUUUGAGGACACCAAGAGGUGACCAUCAGCAAGCCCAGGAGAGAGGCCUCAGAAGAAACCAGACCUGCUGAUUCCUUGAUCUUGAACUUCUAGCCUCCGGAACUAUCCAACUUGAAUGCUUCCUGAUUAAAUAUAUACAGGAGUGAUUUCAGAGGAAUUUAAGUUUUGGAUCAUUCUUUUGAGAAAGAAAGAAAAGUACCCUUUUAAAAGAGCGUACUUUCAACAUAAAGACGACGAGGAUAAAGGCAUUUAUGAUGAACUACUUCCACAUAAUGAAUAAUUGAACAAAGGAGAGAAUUGUGAGAGUGAGAAAAAGUGAGACAAAGAAGAAAAACUAUAAAUCAGCAAAAUACAGUGCCAAGAGCUCUGGACCACAAAUCAGAAGACCUGAGCCCUAAUUCCUUUCCAGUCAUUGGAUUUGUUCGUCGCUUGCCAAAAUAGCAGCGAACUCUCUGUCAAACUGCAACUCAUUUUAUCGGAGCAAAAACUGAACAAAGAACUGCUAUCAUUUCUGAGGUCAGAGGCAGUGCAGCUUGUGUUACAACUCAAAAGAGUAAUACUCUGAAAAAAGAAAAAAAAAGAUGGCGCUGAAAAUAAACAUGUUCAGCAGCCAUUGUGAUUCAACUUACCCAGAUGUGCUUUUCAUGAGAUGGAGAAGGACGGAUGGAAAAGAAAAGCACACAAAUGUUAAUGGAUACAGUUCAAUCCAAAGAAAACCAUGGAAUAAAACAAGAGCAUUAUUUAAGAUGUGAGAAAGCUCAGGUAUGAGAAAGACAUGGUGCCAUUUUGUAUUUCAUCAUGACACACAUACUCACUGCGUCGAAAAGCAUAGUCAGGCUGAGGGUAGUUCUAAUAGUUGACCAAUAAGUCUAUGUCUUGAGUAUGAGCCACUCUGAAACAUGCAUGACCACAUUUUCCCAGCCUCGAGUACAUCCCAGGAGGAAAUCAAGAAAUCUUGGUAAAGGACAUUCUUUACCUCAGGCCACUUCCAUGCUAUUUUACCAGUAGAAACAAUAACUUAUUAAUUGGCACUUAGAUUUUUAUAUAGCUUUAUAAGCCUACUGCUAAGGCCCAAGAAAAAAGAACAGCAGACAUUAGAAUGGGCAGCAACUUGAAGUGAAGAAUGUCCUUCCUAGUUUGAGGAUCUGAAAAUCUAGAUUCUAUUUCUCAUACACAGUUUGGUCAAAAUUAUUAGCAGAUUCUGAUCUUCAAUUUCCUCAACACAAUCCCUGGCAAUAGAAAUGUGUAAAGUCCAUUCCAGAUCCAUAAUGUUAUUAUUCCAACCAAUGCUGUAAUAAUAAUUACUAUUUUGGUAAACAUAUAUGGCUAGUAAUCAGAACAUAAGAAAGUGUAAAAAUGUUCUAUUCCUCUUCUUCGGUGGCCAUAUUACUUCCUUCUCUAUUUGACUGGCAAAAUAAACAUCAAGUUUGUGUCUAUUGUGGCUCUUUCAGUGGUAGAAAUAUUUAAUUAUUUGAAUAGGUGUUUAUAAAUGUUGUUUUUGGGGAAACAUCCAUAAAUUAUAUUGGUUCACCAAUAUUACCAGAAAUCAUCACUAAAACGACAUUGAUACACAUAUAGCUUUUGAAGAACCCACUUGCUCCCUGGAUGUAGUAGAGGCAUUGAGAAAAUAUGGAAGUUAAAUAAUUCAACAAAAAUUCAUGAGAGUAUUGUUUUAAAAAUAUAUUACAAGCAUAAUAGCCUAAUUAUUAAAAAAUAAAAUUGUUACUACAACUCAUAAAACAUGUUCAAUAUAACAAAAUAGAAAGCAGAAAUUCCUAUGUCAGAAAUUAGGCAAGUUAGAGCAUCUUCUUUUUUAUCGCACAAUUAUUAUAAAGAAAAGAUUGAUGUGCAAUGGAACACCCUGCACAUGCCUCCUCUCAAGGCAUUCAUUCAGAGAAACCGUG